CCUACGGGUGGCAGCAGUGAGGAAUAUUGGUCAAUGGACGAGAGUCUGAACCAGCCAAGUAGCGUGAAGGAUGACUGCCCUAUGGGUUGUAAACUUCUUUUAUAUGGGAAUAAAACGUUCCACGUGUGGGAUUUUGUAUGUACCAUAUGAAUAAGGAGCGGCUAACUCCGUGCCAGCAGACGCGGUAAUACGGAGGAUCCGAGCGUUAUACGGAUUUGUUGGGUUUAAAGGGUGCGUAGGUGGAUUGUUAAGUCAGUUGUGAAAGUUUGCGGCUCAACCGUAAAAUUGCAGUUGAAACUGGCAGUCUUGAGUACAGUAGAGGUGGGCGGAAUUCGUGGUGUAGCGGUGAAAUGCUUAGAUAUCACGAAGAACUCCGAUUGCGAAGGCAGCUCACUGGACUGCAACUGACACUGAGGCUCGAAAGUGUGGGUAUCAAACAGGAUUAGAUACCCCAGUAGUC
rnacentral:rRNA from 1 species